CGCCGCACCAACGGCAGGCGGGCGCUCCAGGAGGUUUCGCUUCGCAGUGAAAAAAAAAAAAAAAGAAGAAACGGAAGCGAAUAUCCUACGGCACUUGGGCUUCGCUAUAAAAAGGAGCCGUCUUUGACGCCUGAACGAAUUGCUGCGCCGUGCUCGAACAGAUCUCGAUCUCGAUCUCGAUCUCCGCACGCACCAAGGCGAAGCCAAUUCCACUACCACCGCUCUUCCUUCUUCUCACUCCUUCUCGCGACUGCGGCGAGGGUGAGUCUCCUGUCGUGAGAAUUUCGGUCUACCGGCGGCGGCGGCGGCGUUGGGUGUUCUUCGCGUCGUCAGACGUCGGGAUCUGCGCUUGCUCCAUGUGCUCUCGCACUAUGGGGUUCGACGUGGCAACUCAACCAUCUUCUUAG
rnacentral:lncRNA from 1 species